rnacentral:lncRNA from 1 species
AUGAUACACCUUUUAUAUAAGGAUAAUUGCAAACAAGUACUAAAUUGGAAUAAAACUAAAAACUCAGUAACUAAAUAAGUUUUAUCUAAAUUUAGGAAGUUCGGGGGCAUUCAACAACCUUUACUGGGCGUAAUCGGUCACCCAGAAAGAGGGCUUCCUUAUUCGGGUUGCUCGUCCAUCGGAUCGGGCCCUAAUCGCGUCGACCAACCCUAAUUCCUCGCCGACCGCUUCUUCCGUUUCGAACGCCGGAGUUUGCAUCUUCUCUGGUGGCUCGUCUCCUUCUGCGAUGUUCUCGUCGAGAGCUUCUGCGGCUACUCCUACUGCAGCGACGAUCCGGUCUGCAUCAUGGCUAUCUCCCCAAAGACUCACCUUGUCCACAAGGUGGAUGGACGGAAACGUCUUCAGCAGCUCUUCAUCGUUCUCUCAAGAGGAGUCUUCCAUCAAUGAGUUGCUCCAGAGCACUAAGGAUUGAGGUAUCUUGGUUUUCUUUCUAUCAAUUACUCUGCGAUCCAAUAUAGAAAUAUGAUAUAGAAUUGGUUGGCCUUUUACAGAUAGAAUCGAAAAUGUAUCUACCGAUGUUGGGGCUGGUCCCAGGAAUUUUUUUAAUUUUGAAAUGUGAAAGUUGUUAUGGAUUCUGCUUCCUUCAGACAACUCUGAUUUGUAUGCCACUUUGCUGAAUUUUUCUAUGAUCUUGUAAGGUCCAAAAAAUUUUAAACACAGCUUAUUGUGAAAUCUUGAGGCAACUGAUAAUUGCCUGUAAG